rnacentral:rRNA from 1 species
AGUGAACGCUGGCGGUAGGCCUAACACAUGCCAGUCGAACGGCAGCACAGUAAGAGCUUGCUCUUACGGGUGGCGAGUGGCGGACGGGUGAGGAAUACAUCGGAAUCUACUUUUUCGUGGGGGAUAACGUAGGGAAACUUACGCUAAUACCGCAUACGACCUACGGGUGAAAGCAGGGGAUCUUCUGACCUUGCGCGAUUGAAUGAGCCGAUGUCGGAUUAGCUAGUUGGCGGGGUAAAGGCCCACCAAGGCGACGAUCCGUAGCUGGUCUGAGAGGAUGAUCAGCCACACUGGAACUGAGACACGGUCCAGACUCCUACGGGAGGCAGCAGUGGGGAAUAUUGGACAAUGGGCGCAAGCCUGAUCCAGCCAUACCGCGUGGGUGAAGAAGGCCUUCGGGUUGUAAAGCCCUUUUGUUGGGAAAGAAAAGCAGCAGGUUAAUACCCCGCUGUUCUGACGGUACCCAAAGAAUAAGCACCGGCUAACUUCGU